CGGCGGGGGAUCGGUGGCGGAGCGCCGGGGCUGUGGGGCGGAGGCUGGUCGGGGCCCUGCCGGAGCCGCGCGGUGCCGGGUGCGCUUACCGGUGGUGUUCCGAAAGUGGGAAUGACUUCAUGGAGGCUUUGCAUCUCUGUCGUUUGCCAACAGGAAUCGGGAGGACGCAGCGUUAGUGGGACGAGAGCCUGAUCCUGCGGGCACCGGCGAUCACGGAGCAGCCCUCUCCUGCCUGGCUGGCCCCGGGAGCUGCUGCUCGAUGGACAGAGGCGUGCUGGUGGGACCGCGUUUACAACAUGCUCUUGGCACUUCAGCCAUCCCCACUGUGCUGAGUCCCAGUUGUGACGCUGUCUGUGCUGUGCUGAGGACAAGUGGGACAACUUGUUAAAAGCAGAUGUGGUUUUGUAUUUAGAAAUGAACUUACCUUGGCAGGAAACACCUAGCCAGGCUGGCAAAGAGACUGCUUAGCCCUCUCAUGCAAGGUAAAUUCAGCUAUGUGGUAUGACUCCCUCAGUGUUUUCUCUCUCCUUGUAUAACUACAGGGCAUGUGUGUAGUAAAUAACAUCAUAGGUGAAGCAGCACCUGAACUUCCAAUUCCAGGGGUAUGGAAGGGAAUCGACUGUUUUCAGGACUCUUAAAAUAAUACACAGUGUGUAUAGUACUGAAGUUAAAUGAGGUAUUUAUUUUAAAGCAUAUUGACUACAUGUCUCCUGAAAU
rnacentral:lncRNA from 14 species